ACAUAAAAACAAGGUUAUAUAAUACCAAUAAUUACCAUUUUAUUGGAGAGAGUAUGAUGGUAAUUAUUAACAAAGUGCAGAUAAACGAGCAUGAAAUAAGGUCUUAUCUGGAGAUUAAUAUGGCACAAGUAAAUGAGCAUUUCAAUAUGAAAAUAAUUAAGACUGAAAAAGAACAAAAUUAGGUAAAUCGGCAUUAAAAUAUGCCACCGUAUAUCUAUGCAAAAAUUCAAGAAACACCAGGUCAGCAAGCUACCGAAAGGUAAAAGUCACAAAAAGGAACGGGAUUAUUUCGUAAAAUCAAGGGAAUCCAUAGUCAAAAGAAAACUAAAAACAAAGGAUAUGUAAAAAGCAUGCAGUGCAACCAUAGAAUCAUAAAACAGAU